CGUAGCCGCUCGCUUUUUUAAUUGGCUCGCCAAUUACAAAAUGGGCGGUGGGAUGUCAUGGAUGCCUUUGAGAGCGGUCAUUUUCUCUCCAACCAGUGGAAAACCACGCAGAAAUCUGUUGCUGUGUGAUGGCAACAUAGCGAAAGCAAAGACCGCGAAAACCGGAUUCCUGCAUCAAUAAUCAGCAUAAAUUUAUGCACCGCUCAUACCUAUGAAAUUAAUAAAACAAAAUAAGCAAGCCAGUUGUGCACUUGAGUUUUCUCUUCUGCUUCGAAAGAGGACGCUCACAAAACACCUUCCCCAGGUUAAUUGAUACGUGCUACUUCAAGGAAGAUUGGUCAAAACUUGACCCAGGCCGGUUGAGAGACGAAAAUGCAGACACUGGAGAGGACAGGGGACGAAAAAUUCACCUCCCUAGGUGCAUUCCGCAAACUGGUGAUCGUCCGACCCGCAUCUGAUGUGAGUUGUGUUUGGAUAUUUCGUAACGUAUUUCACCACUUCCUGAGACACUAAAUCACAUGAUAUAAUGUGAUUAAGACCACCGAUUAGAGAAACGCAACCUAUCUACCUGCGUGAUAUCUGAUUGAUUGCUGAUAAUAUCAAGAAUGCUAGCUACCUAUCUACCUACCUGCCUACCUGCUCAAUAUUCAAUCAAUUGCUGAUAGAAUCAAGAAUUCUAGAUACCCACCUACCUGCCCAUCUCACUGCAUGAUAUUCAAUUGAUUGCUGAUGAAAUAUUGAAUGCUAGAUAGCUGUCUAUCUAUCUAUCUACCUAUCUAUCUGCCUACCUACCUGCGCGAUAUCAGAUCGACUGCUGAUAGAAUUUGGAAUGCUAGCUAGCUACCUAUCUACCUCCCUACCUUCCAACCAACAUGGCUGCUCAAUAUCCAACCAAUCUCUAUAAGAAUAAACAUCAUCAUCUAGCUGCCCACCUACCUGGCAAUGCUGGCUUACUAGAUGACUACCUGGCUGCCUACCUACCUAUUUACCUACUCACCUGCUUGUGAUCUCUACCAAUGAUAUCAUUAUCUAGUGAUGGUGAUAUAUGUUGAUGGUGAUAUAUCAAUGAUAUCUAGCGAUGAUAUCUAGUGAUGAAUGUCGAUGAUAUAUUGGUGAUAUAUAUCGAUAUUAAUAAUAUAUAAAUAUAUAGUUGAUAUAUUAUUGCAGUGGUUCUGUUGCUUACAAGAAGCUUCAUAAUCUGUAGAAGAAUAAUGUUGUUGUGUGAUGGAGGUGGAAGGUUGGUUUAUUGUAACUAUCUAGCGGGCGCAGCACUCUUAAAUAGGUGUGUGGGUAACAUGGCAUAAGCAAGCAUUACCGAGGGAUGCCAACAUUGUGUAUAUAUUAACUAGCUAAGUGAGAACAACACAA
rnacentral:sRNA from 1 species